UCUAGAACUCAAGAUAUGGGCUGAACACUAAACAGUGUCUGGGCUGCAGGACAGAUUCGGACUUCUUCGUUAUUGCUACAAUUUGGACUUGAAAACGGCCUUCUUAAAUCUUGGACUCCCAUGAAAGUUGUAGGCCUAUGUCUUAGCUUUCCAUC
rfam:Populus trichocarpa scaffold_19_contig_283, whole genome shotgun sequence.